UUUUUUAAGAGUUUGAUCCUGGCUCAGGAUCAACGCUGGCUGUGUGCCUAAUACAUGCAUGUCGAGCGGGGUUUUUUAAACCUAGCGGCGAAUGGGUGAGUAACACGUGCUUAAUCUACCUUUUAGAUUGGAA
rnacentral:rRNA from 1 species